rnacentral:rRNA from 1 species
GAUGAACGCUGGCGGUCUGCUUAACACAUGCAAGUCGAACGGAAGUAGCAAUACUUUAGUGGCGGACGGGUGAGUAACACGUAAGAAUCUGCCUCCAGGACGGGAAAAACAGUUGGAAACGACUGCUAAUUCCGGAUGAGCCGAAAGGUAAAAAGAAAUUCGCCUGGAGAUGAGCUUGCGGCUGUUUAGCUAGUUGGUAGGGUAAGAGCCUACCAAGGCGACGAUCAGUAGCUGGUCUGAGAGGAUGAGCAGCCACACUGGGACUGAGACACGGCCCAGACUCCUACGGGAGGCAGCAGUGGGGAAUUUUCCGCAAUGGGCGAAAGCCUGACGGAGCAAGACCGCGUGGGGGAGGAAGGUUCUUGGAUUGUCAACCCCUUUUCACAGGGAAGAAGAUCUGACGGUACCUGAGGAAUCAGCAUCGGCUAACUCCGUGCCAGCCGCCGCCGUAACAC